UACGUAGGGGGCGAGCGUUGUCCGAAUUUACUGGGCGUAAAGCGCGCGUAGGCGGGGGGUUAAGUGAGAGGUGAAAGGCUGGGGCUCAACCUCAUGCAGUGCCUCUCAUACUGGCCUUCUUGAGGGCGGUAGGGAGAAGUGGAAUGGCUGGUGUAGCGGUGAAAUGCGUAGAUAUCAGUCGGAACACCGGUGGCGAAGGCGGCUUCUUGGGCCGUUCCUGACGCUGAUGCGCGAAAGCGUGGGGAGCAAACAGG
rnacentral:rRNA from 1 species